UUUCCAUUUCCCAGCCAUUGCCCCAAAUAUCUACCUUUUGGGUCAGGGGCCACAAGCACCUGUUUAGGAGCUUAUUGUUUAAGUGGAACAUUUCCUGUUUCCUGAGAUCUCCUGUGAGUUAAACUUGUAAUUAUUAAAGGUUGGUUCAGUUGCAGUAUUCUCUCUAGUGUGAAAAUUGAGUUUCCUAACCUAUUGCAGCAGAAAUGGGAUUGAUGGUGGUACAUUGUAA
rnacentral:lncRNA from 1 species